rnacentral:lncRNA from 1 species
UUGGUUACAUCUUCUGACAUCAGACUCGGACUUCUCUUUGACUGAAUUUUAAUGUGCGUAUUGUUAUGCGUUUACUUUUCUACAUUGGCUAGAGGUAUAGAGGGAGGGUUGAGAUCUCACAAACAUGUUUAACCCCGCCGCAUUUUUGCGCCUGUCCCAAGUCAGGAGCCUCUGGUCUUUGUUAGUCUUGUAUUAUUUUAAUUUUAGUUUCUUGUGUACAAUUUGGAAAUUAGUAUGGCGUUCAUUAUCACUGAACUAGUAUAUAUUUGUUUAGGGCCAGCUGAAGGACGCCUCCGGGUGCGGGAAUUUCUCGCUACAUUGAAGACCUGUUGGUGACCUUCUGCUGUUGUUUUUUUUUUUUUUUUUUUUCUAUGGUCGGGUUGUUGUCUCUUUGGCACAUUCCCCAUUUCCAUUCUCAAUUUUAUAGAA